AUACGGAAGGUCCGGGCGUUAUCCGGAUUUAUUGGGUUUAAAGGGAGCGCAGGCGGAGAUGCAAGCGUGACGUCAAAUUUCGGGGCUCAACCCCGUCUCGCGUCGCGAACUGCGUCCCUUGGUUGCGGGAAGGGGAGGCGGAACUCGUGGUGUAGCGGUGAAAUGCAUAGAUAUCACGAAGAACUCCGAUCGCGAAGGCAGCCUUCCGGCCCGUCAACGACGCUCAUGCUCGAAGGUGCGGGUAUCAAACAGGAUUAGAUACCCUGGUAGUCAGCACAGUAAACGAUGGACACCCGCGGUUUGGCCUGUAUGGCUGAGCCGCCAAGCGAAAGCGUUAAGUGUCCCACCUGGGGAGUACGCCGGCAACGGUGAAACUCAAAGGAAUUGGCGGGG
rnacentral:rRNA from 1 species